GGAGAAGAGCUCUCUCAGGCAUAUGCCAGUGGGGAUGUUUUCGUGAUGCCUUCAGAAUCUGAGACUCUUGGUCUUGUUGUCUUGGAGGCCAUGUCUUCAGGGAUACCUGUGGUGGGAGUUCGUGCUGGGGGAAUCCCAGAUAUAAUUCCUCCAGACCAGGAGGGCAAAACUGGCUUUCUCUUUAAUCCUGGAGAUAUUGAUGAUUGCUUGGGGAAAUUAGAACCAUUGUUGAACAACCGUGAACUCAGAGAAACCAUUGGUAAAGCAGCACGUGAAGAAAUGGAGAAGUAUGACUGGAAGGCAGCAACAAGAAAAAUACGAAAUGAACAAUACAAUGC
rnacentral:misc_RNA from 1 species